rnacentral:rRNA from 1 species
CACGUAGGGGGCGAGCGUUGUCCGGAAUCACUGGGCGUAAAGAGCUCGUAGGCGGCUCAGUAAGUCGGGUGUGAAACCCCCAGGCUCAACCUGGGGACGCCACCCGAUACUGCUGUGGCUAGAGUCCAGUAGGGGAGUGUGGAAUUCCCGGUGUAGCGGUGAAAUGCGCAGAUAUCGGGAGGAGCACCAGCGGCGAAGGCGGCACUCUGGGCUGGAACUGACGCUGAGGAGCGAAAGCGUGGGUAGCAAACAGG